rnacentral:misc_RNA from 1 species
CCGAGUUUACAACUCCCAAACCCCUGUGAACAUACCUAUGUUGCUUCGGCGGGAUCGCCCCGGCGCCCUCGGGCCCGGACCCAGGCGCCCGCCGGAGGACCCAAACUCUUGUCUCCAUGAGAAUCUUCUGAGUGAUACAAGCAAAUAAAUUA